AUGAACGCUGGCGGCGUGCCUAAUACAUGCCAGUCGCGCGAACAGACGAGGAGCUUGCUCCUCUGACGUUAGCGGCGGACGGGUGAGUAACACGUGGAUAACCUACCUAUAAGACUGGGAUAACUUCGGGAAACCGGAGCUAAUACCGGAUAAUAUAUUGAACCGCAUGGUUCAAUAGUGAAAGACGGUUUUGCUGUCACUUAUAGAUGGAUCCGCGCCGCAUUAGCUAGUUGGUAAGGUAACGGCUUACCAAGGCGACGAUGCGUAGCCGACCUGAGAGGGUGAUCGGCCACACUGGAACUGAGACACGGUCCAGACUCCUACGGGAGGCAGCAGUAGGGAAUCUUCCGCAAUGGGCGAAAGCCUGACGGAGCAACGCCGCGUGAGUGAUGAAGGUCUUCGGAUCGUAAAACUCUGUUAUUAGGGAAGAACAAAUGUGUAAGUAACUAUGCACGUCUUGACGGUACCUAAUCAGAAAGCCACGGCUAACUACGU
rnacentral:rRNA from 1 species